CCUUCACCUGCGCAUACCAAAUAGGGAUGGUGUCCGGGCGCCAUUGCCCGUCCGCAUCAGGCAUAUCGUCGGAUUCCCGCUGCAUCCGGAUUUUCAGUUCACGAUCAUCCGGCUUAAUGCGUAACAACCCCCGUACUUCCGCCAUUUGGGCGGUGGAGAUGGUGGAACGAGGAAAAUGACAACCUUGGCAUGUCAUAUCAUCCGCCUCAUUUAUUUGUUGCUGCCGGGCACCCACGGUGGCCAUGGCGAACGCACGAAAAAAAAAAAAACAAAAAAACACACAAAACAAAAAGAAAACAAGCACGCAACAACACAACCGAGAGGAAGCGAGCAGGCCACAGGGGAUAAUGAAGGAAGGGAGAACCUAACCUGGUAGGAGAAGUGAUGGUCGGAGGGGAAGCCUAACAAGGAAAUUGGGGACGACGAGAGAUCGGAGAAAUCGGAAAAGUCUGAAAGGAAGUUCGGAGAAGGAGAAGAAGAAGAAGAAGAUGAAGGUGAUGGAGGGUAUUUAUAAGAGGGGAAUUUGAAUCGAGGGAAGGGAGGGAGAAUAAUCAUUAGGGUUGGGAUGUGCGAAAGGAAAAUGGAAGGUUAGGAUUUCAUCCCAGAAUGGUGGGUGAAAACGAAGGGUCGAGAUCUCAUCCUCACAAAAAUAAAAGCGUGGAAGGACGUCACAAAGUACUCAAAAACAUCAGAUCACAUUAAAUGCGAUGGGACAAGUUCUGUACCAUGCCAGUCGACACAGACGGCGAU
rnacentral:lncRNA from 1 species